rnacentral:lncRNA from 1 species
AAGAAGCUCACUGGAGUCAAGGCCAAGGAGCUUCUCAUCUGGGUCAGUGUCAGUGAGAUCUAUACAGAGGAGAAAGAGAAGAUCACGUUCAAGUCACCAACCACACUGUCCAGGACUUUCCCUGUCCCAGCUUUUAUUGUCCCAGAGGAAGUGGAACCUGCCAAGGAAGAACCUGUCAAGGAGAAGAGCAGUGAAGCCGCCGAGGUUACGGAGGCUGUUGCAGUCAAGGAGGCCUAAUCAAGCCGAGAGUUAGUAGUGUUUCUCACUGCUCUUACGCUCAUGUAUUACCUACCACUCGUUUCUGCUUCUUUUACUACCUGUAAUAAGAUGUCACCAACAUCCUCCUGUUAUACAAAAAAAUACCGAAAUUAUCUAUAAACUACAUUAAAGCUGGUUAUGUAUGUGACUUCAAGAACACUGGAAACAUAUUAGCAAGCCAAAGUGAAAGCUACAUCGAGAUCUUUUCAAAAUGUUUUACAACCUCAAAAAGUUUCCCUCACGUGUUAAAUCGUGUGCAUACCCACUUACAUGGCGUACUGCUUAUUCUUUACUAUGUAUAGCAACAUCGUUCAUAUGCACUGGCUAUAGUUACUUACCCGCUGCUCGAUAAGAAGUUACAGCGUAGCUUCACUCUAUAUUUCAAUUACAUUGAUUGAGGUUUUGAAUCAUUUUCUUUCAAGUAAUUGCUCAACUGAAAUAUUGAUCGAGGUUUUGAAUCAUUUUCUUUCACGUAGUUGCUCAACUGAAUUCAUCAGACGAGGAUCUUGAAGAUGAAGGUUGCAUCGAAAUCAUAAAGAAACGUAAAUUUUCUGAAGCUAAACAUACGCCAUAGGAGAUACAAAAAUGUUAUAUAGGGUAAAAUCGAAAAUGUCAAAUACAUGUAAAAGAGAAUAUAAUAAACCUCUUUCUUAAUCCCUUGCAAAAUAUUAUAUUGGUAAAACGAAUCAGUAAAAAAAACAUGGUGUGGCUUAUGGCAAAUCUUCUUUAUACACUGCCUUUUGCUCACUAAAACAUGUUCUUCUUUUCAGACAAGGGUAAAGGCAGAUUGUACCGUGGACUGGAACCGUGAUGCGAUUGUCUGUGAGGCAAACUGCUGAAACUGUUUCUUUGCAUCUGCCAACAAAUAAAAAGUGUUAAGUCUAAUGAUCUAUAGCCCAUUUGACUAUUAUAAGGGCUAUACUGGAAUGGAUCUUACCUUUCUUGCACUUUGUGAAGCCGAUGAUAUUAGCCGCGUUAAGGGACAAGCAAACGCCGACAACAAGCAGAUAGUCGGCCUGAAACCUUAUCAGUGAAAAUAUCCCAAGGACUAACCACGCAGCUGCCUGAAGAUAGGACAAACAAAAAACAAGAUUCAGCUGCGGUAAAAGACAGCAUAAUGUUUUCACAAGUUUGUAAUUGCUGACGCUAGAACACUAAACCCAUUGCUACCACCAUCUCAAGGCUCAUUCUUACUCUCUAUAGGUCGCCUUGUAAUGCAACUGAGCCUAUAGGGUUUUAAGCUACCAACUAUUAGUCAAUCUGAUAAUGCAGGAUCAUAGGAUAUACUAAUGCAAUUUCAACAUGCACAAUAACAGUGGUCAACUUUUAGUCCCCCAGAUUACUUCUCCCUAAUCUCCCUAUUUUGCAAUGUGUAUGCGGGUGAUUGACUCAAAUGUCAAUUGCCACUAACUCAGAAGGAGAAUCGUUUGUCACAAACUCAUAGAUAAAAACUCAUUUAAACGUUAGCUUGUUGGUGGGAUGAGAGAAGUCAGCGAUCUAUAUAUGGUUAGUGUGGGAUACUAAAAGACAGCUUCGAAAUUCGUCUCACCGUUUGCAAAACAUUUGCUUCAUCAUUAGGGUCAUGUUCAUUCUUUCCUAUUCUUACUUCUACUCCUCCACUAAAGUUCCGGUGAGUGAAAAGUGACAAGCUCAUAGGCAAGUAAGCAUAGAUAGGAACAACUAGUUGAAACAUUUGGGGUCGUGUUCAUUAUUGCCCGUUCUUACUACUAAUCCUAAUGCUCCACAAAAGUUUCAGGUGCAUUGCAAACAGGUUUAAGCGAUAAGCUACAAACUGUAGUCAAAGAUAGGAACUACUCACUGCAAGGUAAAGCGUCCACCAGAAAAGCCAGGAGUCUUUCUUGUUCAUCCGAGCCAAGGACUGAUACACAGACAAACGAAAUAAAUGAGGUAAAAACUAGUAAGAAUUUUUUGCUUAAUGAAUAAAGUAAAAAGUAAAAGCAUUAAGCAAAAAAGAGAGGGCUAACCUCCUGGUCAAGAGACUCAAACUUCCAGACACUUUCACCCAAGUCAUUGAUCUCGUUCCACCACCUGAGACCAACAAGUAUACGCCCACUCACAUUCUUAACCACCCAGAAGUCAAGUGCCGCGAGAAGAACAGUCACCACAAAGAUAAUAACAAAGCUGUUGAAGAAGAGAGCCGAGAGAAUGUAAAACGCCAACGCAGCACCCUGCCCCCAAAAACAAACUUGUUACCAUUCUCCACCUCACUUAUAAAAAAAAGUCUAAAAAGACUCAUACUCAGGCUCAUCAUACCUUGAAGAGAACAUGGAAGAGACACGUCUUCGGAUUCGCAUAGUUUUCAACUGGUGGCUGCAUUGAAUUAACAACGAGAAUAAUCACAUCUGAGUCUAAUUAAACCGAUUCUUAACAUAGCAUUUCUAUCUAGCUCAAGCCUUCCAAAUUCUAAUGUCUACACACACAUUCUCCUCCGAGACGAAUUCGAAGAGCACAGAUCUAACACAAUCACGUCCAGAUCGAGCAGCUAAUCGAGCUUAAUCAAGAAUCGGAUAAGCAAUCUAGCUCAGAAAUUAAUCAUUCACCUGGUUAGGAUCCAUCUUUCGAAGUAUCCGAAUGUAUCAACCCCGACGCCGAUCAGAAGAUGGAAUCCUAAUACUGAUCUUCCCUCCGAGAAAAUUAUCUUCGUUCGGUACCAGCAGAUCUUCAAACUCUUGCGCGUGUUUUCUUAGCGUUUUAAUUCUAAUCUAUAGGCCCAAGUGAGUGUCCUUUAUAGCCCAUUAGGCCCAAUAUAAAAGGUUGGGUUAAGAAUCUAGUACAAAUAUCAAUGCCUUAACACACACGUAACAAGAUUUCACUAAUGUCAAACCCUAAAAGAGACCUAACAUAGUUUGUUUUUCUUUCUUGCUUCACCAUCUGGCUGAAAAUCUAGUAUAGAUAUAGGUUCCUUAGUACGCACAUAAAGAUCUAACACUUUCAAACCCUAAAAAACAGAAUCUAGUACAAACUGUCUUUUCACCUACAUUUUUGGCUACAAUAUCUCGUUUUCAGGUUACAUUGUUCACAACAAUAAUUGUUGUGUGUUGAUGAUUGCCAUAGUCACCCAUAACCUGCUCAACCAUGCCCAUUAAUGCAUUUUACAUGCACCGUAUACCACACAACCUAUAUAUAACAAGGUUAAGUCGCCUCUUAUCACAACACACAACUUCAGCUUUGAGGUAAAGCUUAAACUAAAAAAACAGAGCAGAGAUGGGUUUGGUCACACAGGAGGUGAGAGCUAAGGCAGAGAAGUACACCGGAGAUGAGAUAUGCCGAGAGAAGACAAAAGUCUUCCUCAAGGAAAUAUCUAUGCCUAAUGGUUUACUACCGUUGAAGGACAUUGAAGAGGUAGAACUGGAGAAUCUUAUGUAACUUGAUUUGUCUGUACAGUCUUAUAUUAUGGGUCAAAAAAUUUAAUUACAUGUUUGGUUGCGUUCCUCACGUUAUUCAAGCAUGAUGUUUGAUAUUUAUAUGUUCCAGGUUAAGCCUGCCCUGCCAGUUCUUCGGCAACUUAUCUAUCUAAAUGAUGAAGAAGUUCUCACAGAUGCCUGCUGGGCUCUAUCUUACCUUUCAGAUGGCCCCAAUGAUAAGAUCCAAGCUGUGAUCCAGGCUGGUGUUUGUCCACUACUUGUGGAGCUUCUGAGGUUAGCUCAAUUUUGCUAUAUUAUUGCUAUAUUAGCUGGUCUUGUAGUUUUGUUCUUCAGAUUCUUAUCCCCCAACAAUGGUGUUUGACAUUUUCAAAUUUGUGAUGUUUUUAAUACCUCUUAGAAAUUGAGUGUUAGUGUACUGACUAAUAUAUAUAUAUAUAUAUAUAUUUCUUCAAGUCAUCCAUCACCUACGGUUCUCAUUCCUGCGCUUCGAACUGUUGGGAACAUUGUAACUGGUGAUGACUCUCAGACACUGGUAUGAUCUGUGAAGAAUGUUUCUAUAUAAUGUUUGAUUGUUUUGUUUAACAUUUUGACAGCAGCUGUGUUUUUGCUUUUCAGUUUAUAAUUGAUAGUGGAGCUUCUGAGGUUAGUUCCUUUCCGAGGAUGGACUUGUAACAAAAAAUGGUGGUUAAGAAGGUAGUUAAGGAGAUUUACCAACCAGUUUUAUAAGGAUUGUUAGCUACGCUCAAAUGUUUAGAGUAUAUAUAUAUGGUGCAUCUCUCUUUUAAGUUUCAUAUCUGAAAACCAUUUUCAAACAAAGAAUGAGUACUCCUCUCACAUCUUCCUAAGUUUAAAGGUUAUAACAGUUGAGCUGUUACUUCGAAACAAUAUAUUUGAGAUGUCAUGCAUAAUGAUAAAACUUGAAAUAAUAAUAAGAUUUGAUUUGAUUUGAUUGGACCAAGUUUAUAGUGAAACAGUACCAAGGCAUCAAGUUUCAAGAUAGUAAGGUGACAAAUCACAAUCAGUAAGUUAGACGUUGGAACUCUUGUAAUUAUGUGAACUACAAUGUUUACUUGAAUUCUAAAGAUAUUAUUCAAUUCGAUUUAUACCAAAAAUAAUUGAGGACACAACGGUUACUGGUUAGCUGUUGAAGAAAAGGUGAGUUGAUAGGCCCUGCAUUUACACGCAGAGGGCCAUGCAUGCACCAUCUAUCAUAUAACAAGUAACAACAAUAAUUGCUAUCACUAUUGUCUGAUGAUGAUUACUAUAGUCACCCAUAGACCUGCCCAACCAUGUCCAUUAAUGCUUUCUCCAUGUACCGCAUACCACACAACCUAUAUAUAACAAGGUUAAGUCGCCUCUUACCACAACACACAACUUCAGCUUUGAGGUAAAGCGUAAACUUUAAAAGAAAAACAGAACAGAGAUGGGUUUGGUCACAGAGGAGGUGAGAGCUAAGGCAGAGAAGUACACCGGAGAUGAGAUAUGCCGAGAGAAAACAAAAGUCUUCCUCAAGGAAAUAUCUAUGCCCAAUGGCUUACUACCGUUGAAGGACAUUGAAGAGGUUGGGUACGACAGAGAGUCAGGUGUUGUGUGGCUGAAGCAGAAACAGAGCAUCACCCACAAGUUCGAAACGAUCGAUAAGCUUGUCUCCUACGGAACCGAGGUCACUGCCGUUGUCCAGACGGGUAAGAUCAAGAAGCUCACUGGAGUCAAGGCCAAGGAGCUUCUCAUCUGGGUCAGUGUCAGUGAGAUCUAUACAGAGGAGAAAGAGAAGAUCACGUUCAAGUCACCAACCACACUGUCCAGGACUUUCCCUGUCCCAGCUUUUAUUGUCCCAGAGGAAGUGGAACCUGCCAAGGAAGAACCUGUCAAGGAGAAGAGCAGUGAAGCCGCCGAGGUUACGGAGGCUGUUGCAGUCAAGGAGGCCUAAUCAAGCCGAGAGUUAGUAGUGUUUCUCACUGCUCUUACGCUCAUGUAUUACCUACCACUCGUUUCUGCUUCUUUUACUACCUGUAAUAAGAUGUCACCAACAUCCUCCUGUUAUACAAAAAAAUACCGAAAUUAUCUAUAAACUACAUUAAAGCUGGUUAUGUAUGUGACUUCAAGAACACUGGAAACAUAUUAGCAAGCCAAAGUGAAAGCUACAUCGAGAUCUUUUCAAAAUGUUUUACAACCUCAAAAAGUUUCCCUCACGUGUUAAAUCGUGUGCAUACCCACUUACAUGGCGUACUGCUUAUUCUUUACUAUGUAUAGCAACAUCGUUCAUAUGCACUGGCUAUAGUUACUUAC